ACCCUUAAAUCCGCCAAAUGAAUAUAACACUCGUAAAUCAAAUGUCAAACAUAAUGAUGAGUGAUACAAGUUUUGAUUGAUAAUCUAUUGUUUAUUUACAGAAUAUUUAUGAAUAAUAUCACUUUAAAAUCGUCAUAUUUAUAGAACGGUUACAUUGAAGAAAAGAUCUGGUACUUUUGGCGUUAAUAUUACUGGGGGUUAUGAUGGAGCUGCUAUAUUUGUGUCAAAAAUUAAAGAAGAUUCACCAGCAAAGGAAAGCGGCAGAAUACUGCAAGGGGACAAGAUAAUAUCGAUUAACGAUGUAGAUAUGAGCAAAACUGCGCAUCCUGAGGCAGGGAAAUUAAUAAGGCAAAGUGAACAGACAAAAUUAGUGCUCAGUUAUUGUAUCGAAGAGUUCAACGAGUUCUUGAAGAAAUAUCCUAGGACGUAGUGAAAAAAGCGUAUGAUUAUGGCUGGAUCUGGUUACUCUGUAUAAACUCAUAUUAUUAUGACUGGAUCUCUGUACUGAGUUUAAAAAGUGUGAUUAUGACUGGACCUUUUUCCUGCGUAAAAUCGCAUGUUAUUAUUAAAAAGUGUGAUUAUGACUGGACCUUUUUCCUGCGUAAAAUCGCAUGUUAUUAUUAAAAAGUGUGAUUAUGACUGGACCUUUUUCCUGCGUAAAAUCGCAUGUUAUUAUGGCUAGAUCUCUUUACUGAGUACAAAAACGUGUGAUUAUGACAGCAUAUGUGUACUGAGUACAGCAUCUGUGUACUGAGUAAAAAACGUGCGAUUAUGACAGCAUCUGUGUACUGAGUACUAAAACGUGUGAUUAUGACUGGAUGUGCAAUUGUUUUGAUAUAUCCUGUUUAUAUUUUAUUUACAAAUAUGUAGCUAAUAUGCCAAGUUGACAGCCCUGCUGAAAGUGGACACUAACCUUGUAGUGCUUAAUGAAUUCACCCUUCUAGUGCAUUUUUCUAGUCCGAGUCAAUUGAAAAGGCUUGUUAAAGCCACUGCUGAUUUAUGAGACGUGAACAGUGAAUAUAAAUCUUAAAAUCGUUAAACAAUUUGAGCACAUUAGUCAUUGUUAGGCUGUCGUGUAUAUGUAGCACAUCCUCAAGCACUAGACACUAACUAGCAUAAUACAGUUUCCUUCUUUGUACUACAUUUCCUCACACAACCAAGCCAUUCCUUUUCAAAAGGAUUUUUUAUCCUAUUUUGCAUUUGUUGAAACAUUACUUGUAUUAUACUUACAUAUUUUUCCAUUUAGGCGAAACAAUGUUGACGUAAAAUAUAAGCGUUUCAUUAGUAACGUCAAAUGAUAGUUGGAAAUAACAUUGUUCAUUUAUUCAUAUUAGGUAAUUUGUUUUUACUUUUUGAAUAGAAAAAGGUCGAGAUAUUUGUAAAUAUAAAACUAAUUUUCAUUCCUAAAAAUAAAUCGUGAUUUUUUCACAACAAUUGCCAUUUUACUAAUUGGAAGUGAGGCUGUUCUUUGAGAAAGCAAGUUGUACCUGGUUAAAAAUAAGUAAAUAAGCUGCUGGAUGAAGGUGGCGCAAAGUAAACUACAGGAUGGAGCAAACAGGAGGAGUAUGUAAUGGACUAGGUCGUUUCUUGUCUAGCUCUUUCAAUGUGUAAAGAGUAAGAAUAGAAAAAGCGGGAUAUUGUACCAACCGAUUUUCCUUUUGGAAAAAUCCAACAAGAAAAAUACAUUACAAAAUACUUUUAAUUAAAUGUUCUCUUUCUUUUAAUUUCAAGAUGAAAAGUUGACAAUUAGUAUAUUUAAAAGUGUCUUACGUUUUCACAUAAUUGAAAUAAGGAAAUAA